AUGGCGGCGGCCAACCUCCUCUCCCGCUCCCUCGUCCCCUCGCUGACCCCCAACCCCGGCAGCCAACCAAGCCGGAGCCGCGCCGCAUCCGUCUCGCUGCGCCGCCGUCACGGGCCCGCGGCCCCCCUCCGCGCCUCCCUCUCCACGGCCUCCCCGUCCACGCGCGUGGCCAUGGGGGAGGCGCCCAAGCACUGCUUCCAGCGCGGCGCCGACGGCCACCUCUACUGCGAGGGGGUGCGGGUGGAGGACGCGAUGGCGGCGGCAGACCGGACCCCGUUCUAUCUCUACAGCAAGCCGCAGGUCGUCCGGAACUUCACCGCCUACGACAAGGCGCUCCAGGGGCUCCGCUCAAUCGUGGGGUACGCGGUGAAGGCUAACAACAACCUCAGCGUGCUGCAGCUCCUGCGGGGGCUCGGGUGCGGCGCCGUCCUCGUCAGCGGCAACGAGCUCCGCCUCGCGCUACGGGCAGGAUUUGACCCCACCAGGUGCAUAUUUAAUGGAAAUGGAAAGACAUUGGAAGAUCUUAUUUUAGCCGCAGAGAGUGGAGUAUUUGUAAAUAUAGACAGUGAAUUUGAUUUGGAGAAUAUUGUCGCUGCUGCAAGAGUUGCAGGAAGGCAAGUGCCUGUUUUGCUCAGAAUUAAUCCAGAUGUGGAUCCACAGGUUCAUCCCUACGUUGCCACUGGAAACAAAACAUCCAAAUUUGGGAUUCGCAAUGAAAAAUUGCAGUGGUUCUUAGACUCUAUUAAAUCAUAUUCAAAUGAUAUCAAACUGGUGGGUGUUCAUUGCCAUCUUGGAUCUACCAUUACAAAGGUCGAUAUAUUCAGAGACGCUGCAAAUCUUAUGGUGAACUUUGUUGAUGAAAUUCGAGCACAAGGUUUUGAGUUGGAGUACCUGAAUAUUGGAGGUGGUUUGGGGAUAGACUACCACCACACUGGUGCAGUCUUGCCUACACCUAUGGAUCUUAUCAACACUGUCCGGGAAUUGGUCCUCUCACGGGAUCUUACUCUCAUUAUUGAACCUGGAAGAUCCCUGAUCGCCAAUACUUGCUGCUUCGUCAAUAAGGUCACUGGUGUAAAAUCGAAUGGCACGAAGAAUUUCAUUGUAGUUGAUGGCAGCAUGGCCGAGCUCAUCAGGCCUAGUCUAUAUGGAGCAUAUCAGCAUAUAGAACUAGUUUCUCCCUCUCCAGGUGCAGAAGUAGCAACCUUCGAUAUUGUUGGGCCAGUCUGCGAAUCUGCAGAUUUCCUUGGCAAAGACAGGGAGCUUCCAACACCUGACAAGGGAGCUGGUUUGGUUGUCCACGACGCAGGAGCCUACUGCAUGAGCAUGGCUUCGACCUACAACCUGAAGAUGAGGCCAGCCGAGUAUUGGGUAGAGGACGAUGGGUCCAUUGUUAAGAUCAGGCACGGUGAAACAUUUGACGACUACAUGAAGUUCUUUGAUGGUCUUCCUGCCUAG
rnacentral:rRNA from 1 species